CCUACGGGAGGCAGCAGUGGGGGAUAUUGCUCAAUGGGGGAAACCCUGAUGCAGCAACGCCGCGUGAGGGAAGAAGGUUUUCGGAUUGUAAACCCCUGUUUUUGGGGAAGAUAAUGACGGUAACCAAGGAGAAAGCAGCGGCUAACUACGUGACAGCAGCCGCGGUACUACGGAGGGAGCAAGCGUUAUCCGGAGUUACUGGGUGUAAAGGGUGCGUAGGGGGUAUAGGAAGUCAGACGUGAAAACCACAGGCUUAACCCUUGGACUGCGUUUGAAACUGUUGGUCUGGAGUGGAGGAGAGGUAUGCGGAAUGCUUGGUGUAGCGGUGAAAUGCGUAGAGAUCACGAGGAACACCGAUUGCGAAGGCGGCCUACUGGAGCUUAACUGACGCUGAUGCACGAAAGCGUGGGUAGCAAACAGGAUUAGAUACCCGGGUAGUC
rnacentral:rRNA from 1 species